AUUGAACGCUGGCGGCAGGCCUACCACAUGCAAGUCGAACGAGUGGCGGACGGGUGAGUAAUGUCUGGUAAACUGCCUGAUGGAGGGGGAUAACUACUGGAAACGGUAGCUAAUACCGCAUACCAUCGGAUGUGCCCAGAUGGGAUUAGCUAGUAGGUGGGGUAAAGGCUCACCUAGGCGACGAUCCCUAGCUGGUCUGAUAGGAUGACCAGCAACACUGGAACUGAGACACGGUACAGACUCCUACGUGAGGCAGCAGUGGGGAAUAUUGCACAAUGGGCGCAAGCCUGAUGCAGCCAUGCCGCGUGUAUGAAGAAGGACUUCGGGUUGUAAAGUACGUUCAGCGGGGAGGCGUUAACCGCAGAAGAAGAACCGGCUAACUCCGUGCCAGCAGCCGCGGUAAUAC
rnacentral:rRNA from 1 species